GCGAGAAAGCGAGCCAGCUAGCCGAGCAGCAGCCCCGGCGGCAGCAGCGUCGCGGCGGCGGCGGUGGCCGCUCCGCGGCUCGCCUUCCGGGCCUCGUCAGCCUUGCUUCGCCGCGCCCAGACCCGCCACCCCCGCCUCUGGGCCCCCACCGCCGCAGCCCCCUCGCCUCGGCCGGCAGCGCCAAACGCCUGUCCGAAGCGGGGCGCGGAGCGCGGGGCGCAGAGGCACCGGAGCCAGUGCCCGCCGCCCCGCAGACCGAACCCAGCCCAGAGAACCCUCGCUCGGCCCGGCGAAGCUCCGUGACAGUCCGGGAGCUGUCCCUUCAGCACCGCCGCCGGAGUCGGAGCCUGAGUCGGAGCGCAAUCCAGCGGAGAGCCCCAGCUCCAGCCCGAGCGCACCGAGCGCUGCGCUCCGCGGCAGCCGCACCGAUCAGCAACCCCGGUGCUCCUGCCCAGGGGGCCCGCCAUCUCCUCCGAGAGGCGGGGAGAAGGAGCGAGGAGGGCGGGCGGGCAGGCGCGCCCGCCGCCGGGGGGAGCAGGCAGCCAGGCAAGGAGAGGGAGGGGGCCGGAGUCCGCCCUGCGCCCCGAGCUGCAGCCGGGCCACGCAGGGAGGUAGGCAGCGGGCAUCCAUCUCCCCCGCGCCGAGAACGCGCUGCAGCGACCACCUCACAGCAGAGCGCGAAUUUCCCGGCCCCCUCUCCUCAAUUCCCCUCCCCCUUCCGGGGGCUGGUCUGUGUCCAGCCCUGGGAGCAGCUGACCUUCCUCCAAAAAGCUUUGUGUCGAUUUCUCCAUUUUCUCUCUGAGAUGGGGACGGGAGCCCGGUCCCCCCACCCUCUUUUCCCUCCUCCUGGGGCUGGUCGCUGAGCGCCACCCCCUCCCUCCUUUCCUCCCUCGAUCUCUCCCUCCCUUCUUUCCUCCUCUGCCUCCUCCGCAGCCGGACCAGCUCCCUCCCACAUCUGGCGCCUUGAGACCCUGGGGAUCCCGCGCACACUCCCUUGGACCAGCACCCGACAGCAAGCGCCCUGAGGGGCUUGGGCCGCUCUUGGGGUGGCCAGAGCCGCGAUCCUCUGUCCCCCCGACGGCUGGGGGGAGGGGGGAGGAGGCCACAAGCCCCCCUCCCCGGCGCCAACUCCCCCUGGCGGCCGCUCCCAUGGGUGUCGCUGGGCCGCGCCAUGCCUAAGGGGGCGCCGCGAUGGGCCAAGGGGACGAAAGCGAGCGCAUCGUGAUCAACGUGGGCGGCACGCGCCACCAGACGUACCGCUCGACGCUACGCACGCUGCCCGGCACGCGGCUCGCCUGGCUGGCGGAGCCCGACGCCCACAGCCACUUCGACUAUGACCCGCGUGCCGACGAGUUCUUUUUCGACCGCCACCCGGGCGUCUUCGCUCACAUCCUGAACUACUACCGCACUGGCAAGCUGCACUGCCCGGCCGACGUGUGCGGGCCACUCUACGAGGAGGAGCUGGCCUUCUGGGGCAUUGACGAGACCGACGUGGAGCCCUGCUGCUGGAUGACGUACCGCCAGCACCGCGACGCCGAGGAGGCGCUGGACAGCUUUGGCGGCGCGCCCCUGGACAACAGCGCCGACGACGCGGACGCCGACGGUCCCGGAGACUCAGGCGACGGCGAGGACGAGUUGGAGAUGACCAAGCGCCUGGCGCUCAGCGACUCCCCAGACGGCCGGCCCGGCGGCUUCUGGCGCCGCUGGCAGCCGCGCAUCUGGGCGCUCUUCGAGGACCCCUACUCAUCCCGCUACGCGCGGUAUGUGGCCUUUGCCUCCCUCUUCUUCAUCCUGGUCUCCAUCACCACCUUCUGCCUGGAGACCCAUGAGCGCUUCAACCCCAUCGUGAACAAGACAGAGAUCGAGAAUGUUCGGAAUGGCACGCAAGUGCGCUACUACCGGGAAGCAGAGACGGAGGCCUUCCUCACCUACAUCGAGGGCGUCUGUGUGGUCUGGUUCACCUUCGAGUUCCUCAUGCGUGUGGUCUUCUGCCCCAACAAGGUGGAGUUCAUCAAGAACUCGCUCAACAUCAUCGACUUCGUGGCCAUCCUCCCCUUCUAUCUGGAGGUGGGCCUGAGCGGCCUGUCCUCUAAGGCCGCCAAGGACGUCCUGGGCUUCCUGCGUGUCGUCCGCUUCGUGCGCAUCCUGCGCAUCUUCAAGCUGACCCGCCACUUUGUGGGCCUGCGGGUCCUGGGCCACACUCUCCGUGCCAGCACCAAUGAGUUCCUACUGCUCAUCAUUUUCCUGGCUCUGGGUGUCCUGAUCUUUGCCACCAUGAUCUACUAUGCCGAGAGGAUAGGGGCGCAGCCCAAUGACCCCAGCGCCAGUGAGCACACCCACUUUAAGAACAUCCCCAUCGGCUUCUGGUGGGCCGUGGUCACCAUGACGACCCUGGGCUACGGAGACAUGUACCCGCAGACAUGGUCCGGCAUGCUGGUGGGAGCGCUGUGUGCGCUGGCGGGCGUGCUGACCAUCGCCAUGCCCGUACCCGUCAUCGUGAACAAUUUUGGGAUGUAUUACUCCUUAGCCAUGGCUAAGCAGAAACUACCAAAGAAAAAAAAGAAGCAUAUUCCACGGCCACCGCAGCUGGGAUCUCCCAAUUAUUGUAAAUCUGUCGUAAACUCUCCACACCACAGUACUCAGAGUGACACAUGCCCGCUGGCCCAGGAAGAAAUUUUAGAAAUUAACAGAGCAGGUAGGAAACCUCUUAGAGGCAUGUCAAUCUGACCUUUCACUUCCGCCCCCUGUAGCGAUGAUUCCUGAUUCAGUCAGACUGCUUCCUUAGUUCCGUGGGUGAUCCUGGAUCCCGCACUCAGUCUCGAGGUGUGGAGUCUGGGGGGCCCAGGGAGAUGCUGGGCAGCCACAUUCACGAGGCGCAAGCCUGCGAGAAGAGCCUCACUGGUGGCCCUGGGUAAGGAGGUUGACACACUGGUCUCGUGGGUUCUGAAGAGAUGACACGGCCCGCGAGGCUGCUGAGGACUCUCUUCGCAGGAGCCCGGGGGCGCUGCUGCUUGGUGGGCAGGAGUUGCCCUUGAGUCGCUGACUCAGGCCACUGACCCAGUGUCGGGGCAGGGCAGGGGUGGGUGUGAUUCGGAAAUGCCAGACAGCUUCUGAUUUGGUCUUUACACGGUUCCCUUCAGGCCGUGCACGUGGCGCAGAUGGUGCAUGGGAUCUGGCAGGAGGGUCCCUGCACAGGCAGUAGCAAGGAUUCUCACCCCCAAAAGAGCCUGUCUCCAUAGCUGAGUAGAAUUCCUGCUCUGAUGCCGGCUGCCUAGCUCCAGGUGCGUCCUAGGAGACGCCUCUUGCCCUCCGUAACAAGCUUACUUACCCCUUAGCAUGCGGAACCAACUCAUCUUCUACCACCACUCUAGAGUUUAGCGUUUAUCUUUAGGAACCUGUUGGAGUGACUCUAGCUUUCACGUUGUCUGUUUGGGUUGAUGGUCAAGUGGGAGCUUCCGGUGGCCUUCUGAUGGAAGUGGCUGGUGAGCGAAGGACUAGAGGGGGCCACCACCCGGGCAGCUUAGAUGAAAGCACUACAGACCAGCAACAACCUCCCACCGAGAGCUCCCCCUGUUUCCGGCAGUAGGGACUGCAGCAGCAAUACACCACAUCCCAGCCAGUGCACGACCACGUUCCCGUGAAUUCAGGGGGUCAGGGAGGGGGGAGGGCGGCCAUGAAACAAUACUAGUCACCGUGGGAUAUAUUCUCAUAUUCCAUGGCUAGUGGUUAGUUAUGGGACUAUCUCAGUUUUAUGAGAACCUGCACAUAGCACAUAAAGUUGAUCACGGGGCUCUGGUCCGAAGAUAUAAAGCCCAUAGUCUACCUCUACCCAUGGAAUACCAUCGACUUAUUCUGUGGACACAGGGAUUGCCAGGGAAUGAACGACCCAGAGAAGAAUGACAACACUGAGCUAAGAAGGAGUGCUGGGUGAGGGAGGCUGAGUGAGUGACAGGUAGUGUCUAGUCGACGAGGGACACCCCUGUGCCCGGGUCAGGCCAGAGGGCCGCAGGCCAGCUCGGCCCUCAAUGAGCAAGUGCCCCUGGGUUUGGGUGGCCUCCUCCAGUGGAUGACUGAUUCUUUCUUCCCCGCUGACGUGCUCUCUGGCCCACCACCCCCAUCCUGUUCCUGAUCUCGCUUCAUCCCACAGCUCUGCUGCCGACUUCUCUGUCCAGGGGGGCUUUCCAGCCCCUUCGCCUGGCCCCAUACCCCUCCCCACUCCCCGGGAUUCCUGUAGGCACCUGAGAGGAACGUGCUAUGUGCCUAGACGGAUGUGGGGUUGGCGUGACUUUGUGAGUGAGUGUGGGGGAGGCCAGAGGUGAAGAAGGCAAAUGGGGGCGGAGACUGGAUCAUGCAGGAACUGAUUGGUAAGAGGCAGCCCCUAAAGCCUUUCCAACCUCACUCCACCCCUAAGAGCAGUCAGGUGGCCUCAGUGAAACCUGGGGUUCUCCAAUUCCACUUUUAGAAUGUAGGUUGGGGUCAAGUUCAGCAUGCUGGGCUCUAAGGGCACUUCCCCCCAUCCAGGGCUAGACCCCUGGGACUCAGUCAAGGCCACCCAGUCAUGCCAGGGGCACCCUCCCCUUACCUCCACCUCUUGGUCUCUCCUGAAGCCUCAGGUCUGUGUGUCUGUGAGGGUUGAUCUGGUCUCCUUGGUACCGUGGCUGGCAUGGCCUCAGUGUCUGGGGGACUCUUCCUGGCAAGGGUCGUAGGGCCUCAUGGUGGGGAUGCCAGGAGCGUGCCCUCCAUGGUCAGGGACUGCCUGGGGAUAAGAGCCCAGGAGAAGCUGCUCCUCUCCCAGAAAGGGGGUCCCUCCCCCACUUGCAGUCGGGGACACAGACCUCCUGCUCUGGGCAGUUCCGAGUGCUCCCUCUGUCCUGCCAUUCACGUGUGUCUUGUCCAUCUCUGCUCCUGUAAUGUGGGUUGGUUCUCUGUGGUUCUGCAUCUGGGGCUGCGGGGUCCCACCAUAGGUGAGCAAGGUACUGGCACGGGGGAUGGUGGUGGCCAGACCCACUUCCUGCCCAUGAGCACAUAGGGCAGCAGUGAGGCCCCAGAAAAGCCCCUGCCUGGGCCCCCCCUGGGAGCUACCACUGCAGCCUCUGGGUCAUCUUUGCCGGGGGGAGGGUUCUCCCCUGAGCAGCUGGUCCGAAGCACUGUGGCCCUGGCCCUCCACCCUCCCCUGCUGGGCUGGGCUGCAGUGGGUGUCGGGAGUGGUGUAACCCCCGGGGCAGGGAAGGUGGCGGGAUUGGGACAGCCAUGACCAGGCAGGGUGUGGGCAAGGCCCCUUCACAUAGGCUGACCGAGUUUUCGCUUGGAUGUGGGGGCCAAGGUGGGCGGCGGGGGCCCUGAACGUGGUCGACGUGGCCCCCAGGUGUGCUAAGGGGGAAGGAGCAGAGAAAUGAAGGAGCUUGAGGGCCAGGCCUGGGUGUUCUUUUCUGUGUUGUUCACAUGCUCUCUCUUUCUCUCUCUCUACUAAUCAUGUUUCUCUCUCUCUCUCCUCGUUUUGUUGCAUGACUUGUGCUGGUUCUCGUGACUGUACUCUGCUCGUGUCUUUCCCAGACUGUCCCCAGUUAGCAGGGGACUUUUUCCCUGAGCCCCUAGCUGGGCAGACCCCUCAGGGCUAAACCCAAGGAAAUGCCCAGCCACCCCUGCCUGCCCUGCCCUAGCCCUGCGUGCGCCCCCGGCGCCCGCUGCUGGUGUGAACAGUAAGUACCUUGGCGGUGCCUGGACACCAAGGCACAAAUGUCAGCCUGCUGGCUGACGGCCGGACACCGGGUUCUCCUUGCUCCAAAGUUUAAAAAAAAAUGACCCUCUCGCGGACGCUCAUCUCUCUCAGCCCAUUUCAAAGCCUGGAAACCAUCUCCGUGAGACGCUGCCCAUGCUGCCAUUUCAUCAUCACAGGCCAGCGGGUCUAGUGGGGCUGAGGGGCCCUGGGCUGGGGAGGCAGGGCUCCCAGCCUUCAGGGGAGCAGGUGGGAAUUGAGGGACCGGGUGGCCAUCUCAUCUAAAGGACAGGGUAGAGGCAGGAGUAGGCGGGGGGUCUUGGGAGUAUCUGGCCUUUUUCACAGAUUCCCCAGGUUUGGAGAGCUGGCCCUCCGUUGGUUUGUCUCUCUUCCAGCCACUCCUCUGGAGUCAGGGAGGGAGAAUGCUCUCAGCUUCUGAAAACACCCCAAACUGCAGAUAAGCCAACAGCCCAGGGAGGCUGGCUCCUUCACAGAGGAGGACCUAAACCCUCAGGCACAGCCCCUUCUCAGAGGUCAUGGCUGGGAGAAGAAGCAGGCUUCAGGGAGGGAAGGGUGUCCAGCUCACAUGCACCCAGGGAUCCCUGAUGGCUGCCCCCCAGCCUGACCCCUGCAGGGAAGACCAGCUUCAACUUUGGGUCCUCUAAAGGCUGUGGGGGCUGGAUGCUCCUGGGGCCCGGUGCUGGGGGCACAGCCAGACGAGGGGGUCUCAGGCUCACACUCCCUCUGACCCAUCCUUGGGCAAGACCUGCAGGCUGUGGAUACCUCCACUGACAGACGAUGGCCAGCAGAGAGACAGCAAGUCCUGGCUCCCCUCCCAGACGGAGACACUGCCUGGUAGGACUCACUGUUUUCCCCUUGAGGAAAAUGUGUACAGGGUACCAUGGGCCCCAACUUCCACCCCUUCAUCCACUACCUCCUCUCUUAACCUAUCCUCCCCUCUCCCCAGAGGCCCUUGGGAGGGAAGGCGGGGCCAGCCAGACUGUGAGGCAGGACUGGGCUUGUCUGUGCGCACACAUGUGUGCCCUCAGACAUGCCCCGAGCGCUAGGCAGCCCCCAGACCCCAGAGAGGCCCCAGCUUCAGUCACAUGGUGUCAGAGUUACCUUGGUAACUGGCCUUUUUGGUUCAGAGUAUAUUGUGGAGUGAAGCCCCUGGGAUUUGUCAAGAAACGCAUUGUACAUGAAAUGCUUUGCCAUCUUGUACAACACACAUUUUUAAGUUCCAAAAUUAUGAUGGGUUUUUCUUUUUUUUUGGAUUUGCUUUACGAAUAAACCUGAUUGGUCCAUUUCUCUUUCGACUGACUGCCUCUUUGUAGUGACAUGUUGUGUACACGGGCCGUGAUCCCGCUCGCGGGCACGCCGAGUGUGUGCGCACGGAGAAGGAUCACUUCUGCGUGUAGUUACAUGAUGUGAACAGGGUCACAGAAGAGGGUCAGAUCGGGUGGAGAUUUGACUGUCUCCAGCUUUUUGCCCCUCUUCAGUCUUUUAGAGAGCUUCCCCUCGUGUGGUCAUGCCCAUGUUGGCAUUGUCUUCCCUUGAGGCUCUCACCCUAGAGGAAGUCUUUGAGGAAGCCACGGUGCCUUCCCUGGGGGCUGAGCCAGUGCCGUGCUGGCCAGAAAGUUCUGCUUUGAGGGCAGAGAGCGUGCGGCAGGGUCAGUCCCCAAGAGCGAUGGGCAGGGGCAGAGGCCACCAGAGCUACCUCUGCCAGCUCCAGAGGCGUCCACGGGGCUGUUCCUGGACUUGGGAGAGGGAGAGCUCCCUGCUCUGGUCAAGCUUCAUCCUCACCAAAUGUACCCCCAAACUUCUUCCCAGGUUCCUUCUCAGGCUCCCACAGAGGCCAAGACUCGUCUUUCCCACCCGAGUCCAUCAGCUGCUGUUGUCUUUACACGUGCAUUUGCUCUGCUUUGCGGGGGAUGCAGCCGAGAGGAGACAGAGGACUGGGAGCCCCCUCCCAAAUCAUGGCCUGCUGUCACUGCCUCAUGCCUACAUCCUUGCUGGCGCCUGUGCGAGCUGACCAGGCCUGCUUGGGGGCAGAGCAGGGUGGAAGCCAAUGUCUUGGUCCGUGUGGGGAUCAGAGCGGACUGAGUGAUGGAGCUUAAGUCUGUGUGAGGAUGGAGCUGACUGAGCGGUCACAUUGGGUCUGUAUGGGGGACAGAGGAGGCUGUGUGACCAGGCCUAGUCUGUAUGGGGGAUGGAGCAUAUAGAGUGACCAGAUUGGGUCCAUAUGGCGGGGAGGUAUUGAGGGGAUCAGAUAGGGUGUGUGCGUGGGACAGUGUGAAGCAAAUGAUCAGAUAGGAUCCAAAGAGGGCCUGGAGUAGAGUUGAUGGAUUGAGUCUGGAUGGGGCCAGGGAUGCCUGAGUGGCCAGCCAGAUGCGGAUGAAAGGCAGCCAGGCUCUGGUCAGCAGCGGAGGGGUCAGAAAAGGCUGACUCUCUGGACAGGAGUGUUUCUGCGUGUCUGUCUGUCUUCUCCCUGAGCUCUGUGUCUAGCCCUCUACCCAUGACCACAUCCACACCAUCCUGUCUCAUCGGCCCCGCCUUGAGCCCUGGGCCCGGCACCCAGCACUGCGCUUGCUGGGCCCAUCACCAAAUCAUCUUUUUGCAAACUUUGAGCAAACCCAGGAACCCUCCUCCUCAGCACUGUGGGCAGCCCAAAGGCUGCCCAGUUGAGCCGGGGACCCCCAGCCUCCCACCUCCCUCCACGGCCCACUCACAUUUCUGUCCUCAGUUAUGGGCUGCCCUUUGCCGAUGCCCCACUUCUGGCCUGUCCCCCAACAACUAAACAGUUUUCAGUGUCUCAAUAGCUUCUGCUUAUAUGUUUGAAGAUUCCAAACUGAAUGGGGAGGUGGCGAAGGCCGCGCUGGCGAACGAAGACUGCCCCCACAUAGACCAGGCCCUCACUCCCGAUGAGGGCCUG